ensembl:lncRNA
AACAGUGCCACACCCCAAGGAAGUGGUACAAAGUUCCACGUCGUCAUCAGUCUGGGUACUUGUUCCCUUUUCCUGGUUCUGCUAGCUGGGUGUGUGCUGGGUGUUCUCCAACGCAAGUGUGGGGUUCAAGGCAGGCCUGUAAAUACUGGAAGCCCACCUGAACAGCAAGACCAAAACCCACCAUGUGUCUAUUCUGUCAUCACAAAGCCUUCUAGGGAUGAGGAAGAGGACACUAGUCUGCAAUACGCUACAGUGACAUAUACCGGUGACCAAGCUAGUCGUCAAUAUGCAACAGUGACAUCUACCGGUGGCAGGUUUAAAGAACUCUUAACCGUGAUCCAAUGAAUGUGCUGCUGGUGCCUUAUGUGUGAGUUAUGUAUUAUUAAUAAUAUCAUUAUUGUACUAUAUAAUAAAAUGUUAAAUAAUUGACUUUCAUAACAAUAUCCCUAGUUGUACUUUUGGUUGGAAUGACAAUGAACGACAUUUCUUGUCGUCUCUCUUGACCUACAGUUAACAGAUGCAGGAACAAGGAGAAACAGACAAACACUUGGAUUACCCAGAAGAAGCACCAGAUCUCAGUAAGCCUGAAGUUUGUGAAGGGGUUGAGCUGAGCAGUGAGUCCUCUGCCCUUGUAAAGUGUCAGCAGUGUUUGUUCUAUGUGGAUUCUAAACUCAAGGAGCUUGGUCGAUCAAAUGCCAGCCACAACCAAUGCUCCCUCCAAGUAAAGGGGUCAGAGCUGCCUGGGUGGAAGCCCAGAGGGCUGUGGUCAAAGGUCACCGUCCAGUGUCAUUAUGAAGAAGAGAAGAAGAAAAGGCAAUACCAUGACAUAAUUAUGUUUUUAUGUAGCUGCCUCACACUUUUCCUCCACUUUGCC